rnacentral:rRNA from 1 species
GUUCCCUCCGAAGUUUCCGACAGGAUAGCUGGAGUUGCACAGUUUUAUCA